ACUACGUCUGCUCUGAGACCUCCAGCAGAGUCUGUGGCCUCAAAAGAGACUCAGCACCCAAACCUCCCAGCAGCGAGCUUCCAGGCACAGAAGGCACUGAGGAGGAGGACGCUGACAUACUUACCUUCAGCCAGAGAAGGUCUGAAAAGGUGUGCCUCUUGCGCUUCAGGAGGCUUUAUGAGAAAUGCCAGUUAAUCUCAAAACACUUGAGAUCAUGAGAGCUGAUUAUAUAAACAAGGGAAGGAUGCCAGACUGGUUGUCAGAGAUUAUCUGAGUUUGUUGGUGAAAGCACACUUGUUCCUGACCUUCUCUUCAUCUUCUUGGCCUGGACCCUUGAUUCUCAGACCACCUGAUCAUUUUGCCUCUCUGGAACCCUUGACCUUGGAUUGUUUGACUGCGCUUCUCUGGAACCCUUGACCUUGGACUGCCUUUUUUCUUGGAUUGACCCCUGGAUUUGAGACCACAGACCUUUGAACUAACCUAGGCCUUCAAUGAAAGAGGUGGACAUCAUGCUCCUCACCGUCUUUUGACUCCAGGGACCAUCCUUGAAGUCUGAACAAGACACUUCAGGAAAGCAUUGGCAAACAUCCUCUGACUAAGGAUCUUAUCACACAUGCAAUUUUAAACGUUUUGGGGACUGAAGGAGGACGCUCGUGUGCGCGUGCAUCCUGCAGAAAAUGGAGUUUAUCGCACACGAAGACCUUCUCCAACAGUCCCCGUUCCGUCCCCCGGCACGCACCCAUUC